GGUUCGAUCCUGGCUCAGAUUGAACGCUGGCGGGAUGCUUUACACAUGCAAGUCGAACGGCAGCACGGACUUCGGUCUGGUGGCGAGUGGCGAACAGGUGAGUAAUGUAUCGGAACGUGCCUAGUAGCGGGGGAUAACUGCAUGAAAGCGUAGCUAAUACCACAUACGCCCUUCGGAAAGCGGGACGCUGGGCCUCGCACUAUUAGAGCAGCCGAUAUCGGAUUAGCUAGUUGGUGGGGUAACGGCUCACCAAGGCGACGAUCCGUAGCUGGUUUGAGAGGACGACCAGCCACACUGGGACUGAGACAGCGGCCCAGGCUCCUGCAGGAGGCAGCAGUGGGGAAUUUUGGACAAUGGGGAAACCUGAUCCAGCCAUCCCGCGUGUGCGAUGAAGGCCUUCAGGAGUUUGUAAAGCACUUUUGGCAGGAAAGAAACGGCGAUGCAUCCCGUGCAACUGACGUACCUGCAGAAUAGCGCCGGCUAACGUGCCAGCAGCCGCGGUAAUACGUAAGUGCAGCGUUAAUCAAGGAAUUACUGGGCGUAAAGCGUACGCUGUUGGUUCGGAAAGAAGAUCUUGAAAUCAGAAACGCUUUGGAACUGCAUUUUAACUACCGAGCUAGAGUGUGUCAGAGGGAGGUGGAAUUCCGCGUGUAGCAGUGAAAUGCGUAGAUACUUGGAGGAACACCGAUGGCGAAGGCAGCCUCCUGGGAUAACACUGACGCUCAUGCACGAAAGCGUGGGGAGCAAACAGGAUUAGAUACCCUGGUAGUCCACGCCCUAAACGAUGUCAACUAGCUGUUGGGGCCUUCGGGCCUUGUUGGCCGCAGCUAACGCGUGAGGAUUGACCGCCUGGGAAGUGGUCGCAAGAUUAAUGCUCUGAGAAUUGACGGGGACCCGCACAAGCGGUGGAUGAUGUGGAUUAAUUCGAUGCAACGCGAAAACCUUACCUACCCUUGACAUGUCUGGAAUCCCGAAGAGAUUUGGGAGUGCUCGCAAGAGAACCGGAACACAGGUGCUGCAUGGCUGUCGUCAGCUCGUGUCGUGAGAUGUUGGGUUAAGUCCCGCAACGAGCGCAACCCUUGUCAUUGAAUUUACUACGAAGGGCACUCUAAUGAGACUGCCGGUGACAAACCGGAGGAAGGUGGGGAUGAGUCCUCAUGGCCCUUAUGGGUAGGGCUUCACACGUCAUACAAAUGAAUUCUCACCCGAGAUGGUCGCCAACCUUACGAGAAGAACCAAUCCCAAGAAAACCAGGCGAUCGUAGUCGGAUCGCAGUCUGCAACUCGACUGCGUGAAGUCCAGAAUCUUCGAUAAUCACUUGGAUCAAGCAUGUCGCGGUGAAUACGUUCCCGGGUCUUGUACACACCGUAGCUCACACCAUGGGAAUUGGGUUUACCAAAGUAGUUAAGCCUAACCGUAAGGAGGCGAUUACCACGAGUAGGAUUCAUGACUGGGGUGAAGUCGUAACAAGGUAA
rnacentral:rRNA from 1 species